rnacentral:rRNA from 1 species
CAGUCGCCGCGGUAAUACGAAGGGUGCGAGCGUUAAUCGGAAUUACUGGGCGUAAAGCGUGCGUAGGCGGUGAGUUAAGUCUGCUGUGAAAUCCCCGGGCUCAACCUGGGAAUGGCAGUGGAUACUGGCUCGCUAGAGUGUGUCAGAGGAUGGUGGAAUUCCCGGUGUAGCGGUGAAAUGCGUAGAGAUCGGGAGGAACAUCAGUGGCGAAGGCGGCCAUCUGGGACAACACUGACGCUGAGGCACGAAAGCGUGGGGAGCAAACAGGAUUAGAGACCCCCGUAGUCCCUGUCUCUUAUAC